GGCAGCACGGUGCGUAGCAAUACGCAUGGGUGGCGAGUGGCGGACGGGUGAGGAAUGCAUCGGAAUCUGCCCAGUAGCGGGGGAUAACCUGGGGAAACUCAGGCUAAUACCGCAUACGACCUACGGGUGAAAGCGGGGGACCUUCGGGCCUCGCACUAUUGGAUGAGCCGAUGCCGGAUUAGCUAGUUGGUAGGGUAACGGCCUACCAAGGCGACGAUCCGUAGCUGGUCUGAGAGGACGAUCAGCCACACUGGGACUGAGACACGGCCCAGACUCCUACGGGAGGCAGCAGUGGGGAAUAUUGGACAAUGGGGGAAACCCUGAUCCAGCAAUGCCGCGUGUGUGAAGAAGGCCUGCGGGUUGUAAAGCACUUUCGGUGGGGACCAAAAAGCGCGACCUAACACGUCGCGUCUUGAGUUAACCCAUAGAAGAAGCACCGGCUAACUCUGUGCCAGCAGCCGCGGUAAUACAGAGGGUGCGAGCGUUAAUCGGAAUUACUGGGCGUAAAGCGCACGCAGGCGGCAACGCCAGUCGGAUGUGAAAUCCCCGGGCUUAACCUGGGAAUCGCAUUCGAUACUACGUUGCUUGAGUGUGGAAGAGGGAAGUGGAAUUCCAGGUGUAGCGGUGAAAUGCGUAGAUAUCUGGAGGAACAUCAGUGGCGAAGGCGACUUCCUGGUCCAACACUGACGCUCAGGUGCGAAAGCGUGGGGAGCAAACAGGAUUAGAUACCCUGGUAGUCCACGCCGUAAACGAUGAGAACUAGACGUCGGAGGGGUUUGCUCUUCGGUGUCGCAGCUAACGCGUUAAGUUCUCCGCCUGGGGAGUACGGCCGCAAGGUUGAAACUCACAGGAAUUGACGGGG
rnacentral:rRNA from 1 species